GUUUGGUUGCGCUCACAGCUUCGCUUUCUUCUUGCCCCAAGUUGGCCUUCAGCUCACAUGGGGGGAGUCCAGAGAGCAAACAGCUGGGAGAGCAUCAAAGGCUCCGCGAGCACCAAAGCUCCGGGAGCACAGAGGACGGGCGCAGUUCUGCCCUCCUCCUGCACACCCUGAGCUCCAUCAGAGCGCUGCACAAAGCCGGAUUGUGGAGCAGCUUGAGUCGAUAAUCCUCGCAGGGAAGACUGAGGCCUUGGAAGAGAUCACUGUGUGCCUCGGGAAAAAGAAGUUGGAUGUGCAGCCGCAGGCAGCGUGUCAAAGUAAAUAGAAACAUUCCCAUUGGCUGCGGCUCAGGCUCUGACUCAUGAGCAAAAACAUCUUUGGAGGUCUGACUGAAUGAUACUAUCACUGGGAAAG
rnacentral:lncRNA from 1 species